rnacentral:rRNA from 1 species
AUUGAACGCUGGCGGCAGGCUUAACACAUGCAAGUCGAGCGGAGAUGAGGUGCUUGCACCUUAUCUUAGCGGCGGGCGGGUGAGUAAUGCUUAGGAAUCUGCCUAUUAGUGGGGGACAACAUUCCGAAAGGAAUGCUAAUACCGCAUACGCCCUACGGGGGAAAGCAGGGGAUCUUCGGACCUUGCGCUAAUAGAUGAGCCUAAGGCGGAUUAGCUAGUUGGUGGGGUAAAGGCCUACCAAGGCGACGAUCUGUAGCGGGUCUGAGAGGAUGAUCCGCCACACGGGGACUGAGACACGGCCCAGACUCCUACGGGAGGCAGCAGUGGGGAAUAUUGGACAAUGGGCGGAAGCCUGAUCCAGCCAUGCCGCGUGUGUGAAGAAGGCCUUUUGGUUGUAAAGCACUUUAAGCGAGGAGGAGGCUACCUGGAUUAAUACUCUAGGAUAGUGGACGUUACUCGCAGAAUAAGCACCGGCUAACUCUGUGCCAGCCGCCGCCGUAAUAC